GGGCGGAUAGUUCAGUGGUAGAAUAUCUGUUUUGCAAUCAAUGCACUUGGAUUAUCAAGUGUUGCUUCUUACAGAAGGUCCCGUGUUCAAUCCACGGUUCGUCCA